CAAGUGCAUGGUAACCAAAACAGCAUGGUCC
rnacentral:piRNA from 1 species